GGCAGUGUUAGCUCAGUGGAUAAGACAUUGGUCUUCUGAUUGGAAGGUUGUGAGAUCAAGUCCCAGCACUGCUG